ACGGGCGGGGCGAGCGCUGUUCGGAUUCAUUGGGUGUAAAGCGUGCGUAGGCGGCUUUUUAAGUCGGAUGUGAAAUCCCUGAGCUUAACUUUGGAAUUGCAUUCGAUACUGGGAAGCUAGAGUAUGGGAGAGGAUGGUAGAACUCCAGGUGUAGCGGUGAAAUGCGUAGAGAUCUGGAGGAAUACCGAUGGCGAAGGCAGCCAUCUGGCCUAAUACUGACGCUGAGGUACGAAAGCGUGGGGAGCAAACAG
rnacentral:rRNA from 1 species